AACGCUGGCGGCGUGCAUAACACAUGCAAGUCGAACGAGUUUAUUUGAGAUUAUAUCAAUGAUAGACUAGUGGCAGACGAGUGAGUAACACGUAAGGAAUCCACCCCGGAAUGGAGGAUAACUAGCCGAAAGGUUAGCUAAUACUCCAUACGAUCCUUGGAUGGCAUCAUUCGAGGAUGAAAGUUUUUCGUUCUGGGACGACCUUGCGGCCUAUCAGCUAGUUGGCGGUGUAACGGACCACCAAGGCUAUGACGGGUACCUGGCCUGAAAGGGCGGACGGGCACGGAGGCACUGAGACACGGGCCUCACUCCUACGGGAGGCAGCAGUGGGGAAUUUUGGACAAUGGGGGAAACCCUGAUCCAGCAACGCCGCGUGAGGGAUGAAGGCCUGAGGGUCGUAAACCUCUUUUAUACGGGACGAAAACCCGCAAGGGAUUGACGGUACCGUGUGAAUAAGCCCCGGCUAAAUAUGUGCCAGCAGCCGCGGUAAGACAUAUGGGGCAAGCGUUACUCGGAAUUACUAGGCGUAAAGCGUGUGUAGGCGGACAACUAAGUUCGGCGUGAAAUCUCCCGGCCUAACUGGGAGGGGUCGCCGAAGACUGGAUGUCUUGAGUGAGGUAGGGGGAACCGGAAUUCCUGGUGUAGCGGUGAAAUGCGUAGAUAUCAGGAGGAACACCGGUGGCGAAAGCGGGUUCCUGGGCCUUUACUGACGCUGAGACACGAAAGCUAGGGUAGU
rnacentral:rRNA from 1 species